CCUACGGGUGGCAGCAGUGAGGAAUAUUGGUCAAUGGACGGAAGUCUGAACCAGCCAAGCCGCGUGCAGGAAGACGGCUCUAUGCGUUGUAAACUUCUUUUGUACAAGGGUAAACCUGAAUACGUGUCUUUAGCUGAAAGUACUGUACGAAUAAGGAUCGGCUAACUCCGUGCCAGCAGCCGCGGUAAUACGGAGGAUGCAAGCGUUAUCCGGAUUUAUUGGGUUUAAAGGGUGCGUAGGCGGUCGUAUAAGUUAGAGGUGAAAUCCCGAGGCUCAACCUCGGAAUUGCCUCUGAUACUGUUCGACUAGAGAGUAGUUGAGGUAGGCGGAAUGCAUGGUGUAGCGGUGAAAUGCUUAGAGAUCACGCAGAACACCGAUUGCGAAGGCAGCUUACCAAGCUACUUCUGACGUUGAGGCACGAAAGCGUGGGGAGCAAACAGGAUUAGAUACCCGAGUAGUC
rnacentral:rRNA from 1 species